rnacentral:rRNA from 1 species
AGUGGUGUACAGGUGAGUACUUGAUUAUCAACCUACCUUAAAGCAAGGGGAAAUCCCUUAUAUUAACAAAGGUUAUUCCGCUUUAAGAUGAUUAGAUAAAUCAUAGAGAUAGGUAGUUGUUAAGGUAAUGGCUUAACUAGCCCAAAAUUCUCUUAGUCGAAACUGAAAUGGUUGAUCGACCACAUUGGGGCUGAAAAAAACCCAAUACAAGUGAGUACAGCAGUGGGGAAUAUUGGUCAAUGGUCUAACGACUGAACUGGCAACUUGGAGGAAUGGCCUAUCUUAUUAAGUAAAUAGUAAGAAUUAGAGUGAAAUGAUGGUUAAAUCGAUUAUCGAAUAAAAUUCUAAAUAUAUAAAUUAUAAUGACUAUAUAUAUUUAUGUCUUGACUAAUUACGUGCCAGCAGUCGCGGUAAUACGUAAGAGACUAGUGUUACUCAUUUUUAAUAGGUUUAAAGGGUACCCAGACGGAAGAAAUUUGCCUGUAAAGGAACAAUUUCUAUCUAGAGUUUAAUAUAAGAAGGUCGUACUUGUGGAAUAGAGAUGAAAUACUUUUAUACCUAAUAAGGGACUGGUAAAGGCGAAAGCAACCUUUUAUGUAAAAACUGACGUUGAAGGACGAAGGCUUAGAACACGAAUAGGAUUAGAUACCCUAGUAGUCUUAGCAGAAAAUGAUGAAUGUCAUAGGUUAGGUUAUACUUAGUCUAUAAAUGAAAACGUAAGCAUUUCACCUCAAGAGUAACGUGGCAACACGGAAACUGAAAUCACUAGACCGUUUCUGACAUCAGUAGUGAAGUAUGUUAUUUAAUUCGAUGAUCCACGAAAAACCUUACCACAAUUAGAAUUGUAUUUAUACUAUUUAUAUUAUAAAUAUAACGAGUGUUGCACGGCUGUUUCCAGUUAAUGUUGUGAAACUAUGGCUUCGGCCAUGAAAUUAACGAAAACCCUUGCUUUAUUUAUAAAUAUUUUUUAAUAAAGCUGCUUUUAUCAUCAUACCGAUAAAAUAGUAGGGCCAAAGACAAGUCAUCAUGGCCUUUAUAUUGUGGGCUAUAGACGUGCCACAUAUUCCUAGACAAAGAGAUGCGAAAAUGCGAAUUUAAGCUAAUCUCAAAAAAUAGGAUAAAAUAGGAUAAGGAUUGUAGUCUGAAACUCGACUACAUGAAUAAGUAAUUACUAGUAAUCGUGAAUCACCAUGUCACGGUGAAUAAUAUCUCGGAUUGGUACUAACCACUCG